GUGGGGAAUAUUGGACAAUGGGCGAAAGCCUGAUCCAGCCAUGCCGCGUGUGUGAAGAAGGUCUUCGGAUUGUAAAGCACUUUAAGUUGGGAGGAAGGGCAGUAAGUUAAUACCUUGCUGUUUUGACGUUACCGACAGAAUAAGCACCGGCUAACUUCGUGCCAGCAGCCGCGGUAAUACGAAGGGUGCAAGCGUUAAUCGGAAUUACUGGGCGUAAAGCGCGCGUAGGUGGUUUUGUAAGUUGGAGGUGAAAUCCCCGGGCUCAACCUGGGAACUGCCUCCAAAACUACUGAGCUAGAGUACGGUAGAGGGUAGUGGAAUUUCCUGUGUAGCGGUGAAAUGCGUAGAUAUAGGAAGGAACACCAGUGGCGAAGGCGACUACCUGGACUGAUACUGACACUGAGGUGCGAAAGCGUGGGGAGCAAACAGGAUUAGAAACCCUGGUAGUCC
rnacentral:rRNA from 1 species